UACGAAGGGGGCUAGCGUUGCUCGGAAUCACUGGGCGUAAAGCGCACGUAGGCGGACUUUUAAGUCGGAGGUGAAAUCCUGGAGCUCAACUCCAGAACUGCCUUCGAUACUGAGAGUCUUCGAGUUCGGGAGAGGUGAGUGGAACUGCGAGUGUAGAGGUGAAAUUCGUAGAUAUUCGCAAGAACACCAGUGGCGAAGGCGGCUCACUGGCCCAUAACUGACGCUGAGGCACGAAAGCGUGGGGAGCAAACAGG
rnacentral:rRNA from 1 species